UACGAAGGGGGCUAGCGUUGCUCGGAAUCACUGGGCGUAAAGCGCACGUAGGCGGCUUCUUAAGUCAGGGGUGAAAUCCUGGAGCUCAACUCCAGAACUGCCUUUGAUACUGGGAGGCUCGAGUCCGGGAGAGGUGAGUGGAACUGCGAGUGUAGAGGUGAAAUUCGUAGAUAUUCGCAAGAACACCAGUGGCGAAGGCGGCUCGCUGGCCCGUUACUGACGCUGAGGUGCGAAAGCGUGGGGAGCAAACAGG
rnacentral:rRNA from 1 species